GGGGUGUGUUCAGUGAAUGUUCUCCAAGUCUGCCCCACCCCCAUCCCAAUAAACACAUGUUCAAGGGUCAGUUUGGUUGGGGAGCGAGGUGGUGGUGACCCCCACCUUCCAAACUCCCAGAAGAGCCCCUUCUGGAGGUCAGUGUUGAAGGGGCCACUCCGUGUCUCAAGGAUUGGUGCUUGGGGGGAAGGGCUCUGUGCCAUCAUACACAGAAACUGUAAAGUGUCUGCCUUAUUCUGUGAAUUGCCAUACGUCCAAUGCGGCCUCAGGGCGAAGCUUCCCAGGCUGGCCUGCAGUCAGGCAGUGUGGACACUUGGGCCACAAAAGUCUAAAGUCUUCAUAACAUCCAGCAUUUUCAGCACAGGCUGCCUCUUUCUUUCUUUCUUUCCUUUCUUUCUUUCUUUCCUUCCUUCUUUCUUUCUUUCUUUCUUUCUUUCUUUCUUUCUUUCUUUCUUUCUUUCUUUCUUUCUUUCUUUCUUUCUUUCUUUUCUUUCUUUCUUUCUUCUUUCUUUCUUUCUUUCUUCUUUCUUCUUUCUUUUUAAUUUUUUAAAAAAUUUAUUUAUGAUAGUCACAGAGAGAGAGAGAGAGGCAGAGACACAGGCAGAGGGAGAAGCAGGCUCCAUGCACCGGGAGCCCGAUGUGGGACUCGAUCCCAGGUCUCCAGGAUCGCGCCCUGGGCCAAAGGUAGGCGCUAAACUGCUGCGCCACCCAGGGAUCCCUUUUUCUUUCUUUUUUAAAGAUUUUAUUUAUUUAUUCAUGAGAGACAGAGAGAGAGGCAGAGACAUAGACAGAGGGAGAAGCAGACUCCCUGUGGGGAGCCCGAUGUGGGACUCCAUCCCGGGACCCUGGGAUCACACUCUGAGCCAAAGACAGAUGCUCAACUGCUGAGCCACCCAGGUACCUUUUUCAAUCUUCAACCAAACCUGUAGGGUGAGUGAGGUGGAAGAAACAUUCCCAUUUUCCAGAGGAGAAAAGAAAGGCUCUGAAAGGUGAGGUGACUUCUCCGUCGUCACAAAGCUGGUGAGUGACAGAAAGAAGCCUGGAACCUGGGCCUUCUCCUGUCAGGGCUGGAGAGGACAGUCCCAGAGGGUCAUUUCCUGUCCUGGGAGGUCUAGCAGGAAGUGGGGGACAGGGGGCUGGAGGAGCCCCCUGCGGCUGGCUGGCUGAUGAGCCCCAAGCCAGGUGAGGCUGUCACCUAUGAGUGGGGAACCCCUUCCAGGCAAGGCCCCCUGACUACAGCCCAGC
rnacentral:lncRNA from 12 species